rnacentral:rRNA from 1 species
GAUGAACGCUGGCGGCGUGCCUAAUACAUGCAAGUCGAGCGAACAGACGAGGAGCUUGCUCCUCUGACGUUAGCGGCGGACGGGUGAGUAACACGUGGAUAACCUACCUAUAAGACUGGGAUAACUUCGGGAAACCGGAGCUAAUACCGGAUAAUAUAUUGAACCGCAUGGUUCAAUAGUGAAAGACGGUUUUGCUGUCACUUAUAGAUGGAUCCGCGCCGCAUUAGCUAGUUGGUAAGGUAACGGCUUACCAAGGCAACGAUGCGUAGCCGACCUGAGAGGGUGAUCGGCCACACUGGAACUGAGACACGGUCCAGACUCCUACGGGAGGCAGCAGUAGGGAAUCUUCCGCAAUGGGCGAAAGCAUGACGGAGCAACGCCGCGUGAGUGAUGAAGGUCUUCGGAUCGUAAAACUCUGUUAUGAGGGAAGAACAAAUGUGUAAGUAACUAUGCACGUCUUGACGGUAACUAAUCAGAAAGCCACGGCUAACUACGUG